GUGCCAGGCCGCCGCGGUAAUACCGGCGGCCCAAGUGAUGGCCGCUGUUAUUGGGCCUAAAGCGUCCGUAGCUGGCCGCACAAGUCCGUCGGAAAAUCCACCCGCCCAACGGGUGGGCGUCCGGUGGAAACUGCGUGGCUUGGGACCGGAAGGCGCGACGGGUACGUCCGGGGUAGGAGUGAAAUCCCGUAAUCCUGGACGGACCGCCGAUGGCGAAAGCACGUCGCGAAGACGGAUCCGACAGUGAGGGACGAAAGCCAGGGUCUCCAACCGGAUUAGAAACCCUAGUAGUCC
rnacentral:rRNA from 1 species